rnacentral:rRNA from 1 species
GUGUCAGCAGCCGCGGUAAUACGAAGGGGGCAAGCGUUGUUCGGAAUUACUGGGCGUAAAGGGCGCGCAGGCGGCCUGACAAGUCAGAUGUGAAAGCCCCGGGCUCAACCUGGGAAUAGCAUUUGGGACUGUCGGGCUAGAGAUCGGGAGAGGAGAGUGGAAUUCCCAGUGUAGAGGUGAAAUUCGUAGAUAUUGGGAAGAACACCGGUGGCGAAGGCGGCUCUCUGGACCGAUACUGACGCUGAGGCGCGAAAGCGUGGGGAGCAAACAGGAUUAGAUACCCUGGUAGUCC